rnacentral:rRNA from 1 species
UACGAAGGGUGCAAGCGUUAAUCGGAAUUACUGGGCGUAAAGGGUGCGUAGGCGGUUCGUUAAGUCUGUCGUGAAAUCCCCGGGCUCAACCUGGGAAUGGCGAUGGAUACUGGCGAGCUAGAGUGUGUCAGAGGAUGGUGGAAUUCCCGGUGUAGCGGUGAAAUGCGUAGAGAUCGGGAGGAACAUCAGUGGCGAAGGCGGCCAUCUGGGCCACUACUGACGCUGAGAAGCGAAAGCGUGGGGAGCAAACAGG